UACAGAGGGUGCGAGCGUUGUCCGGAAUCACUGGGCGUAAAGGGCGCGUAGGCGGCCUGAUAAGUAGGGGGUGAAAUCCUGUGGCUUAACUGCAGGGCUGCCUCCUAGACUGUUAGGCUCGAGCACGGUAGAGGCAGAUGGAAUUCCCGGUGUAGCGGUGGAAUGCGUAGAGAUCGGGAAGAACAUCGGUGGCGAAGGCGGUCUGCUGGGCCGUUGCUGACGCUGAGGCGCGACAGCGUGGGGAGCAAACGGG
rnacentral:rRNA from 1 species